AUUUAGCUGACUAAACGAGCUUCACUUAGGCAGCCUCUGCUUUUCGUUGACUGGGUUUCCAAUCUCUCUCUCCCUCUCUAAAAUUUUCUCUCUAAUGUCCUCGUUCCCACGAAAAAUGCACGUUUAGGGUUUCAUUGCAUUCAUUCCUAGAGAGAAGAAAUCUCCGGAAAGAGGUCUAGGUUUUCUUUGCACUCGUUGCUUUUGAAGUCUCACACUGUUUCUAGUCAAUACUACAAGGGAAGUUUUCACACCAUUACCUAAAAAGCGAGAGAGAACCUGUGAGUUGGAUAGAAGGCUGGGUACGGGAAAGAGGACGGCAAGCUGUCUGUUAUUCUACGUGCUAAUCAUCUGGUUUUUGAGGAAAAACUGGGGUAUAUUUCAGCGGACAUGGCCAUUUUUGCUGGAUUAAUGGAAGAUUCAAGCUUUCUAUCAGUUUUUUCCAGUCAAAACCAGCUUCGUUCCUGACUUUCUUGAGACCCAACAAACUCUCCUGCAAAAAAUUGGUAUGAUUUAUGAUUUUCUCUCUACUUUACUGGAAAAAGUACUCUGUAUUCAGUCUCUCAGUUAAUGGAGAAUUUGAACUCUUCUAGAGAUGGAAUCAAUCGAAACAAUAGACCUAGCGAUAGCUUUCUAGGGAUUAACAAACAAUCCCACAAAAUUGGCAAAGGGGUAACACGAAAAAGCCCCAUUCAUCCUUCAGGCUUUGCAAAUUCGAAGCAGCAGCCACCUCAACCCCCGGUCUAUAACAUUAGCAAGAACGAUUUCAGAAACCUAGUCCAACAGCUAACAGGUUCACCUUCUCAAGAAACCCAAGCUCCUGUUCCAAUUCAACCUCCAAAACCACCAAGUGUGAGAUUGCAAAGGAUCAGACCACCUCCAUUGAGGCCUCCAAUUCACAAUCCACAAACCCUAAAUCAAAAUCACCCCGUUUUCAACAACCCAAAUCCAGGAUUCCCUGGAAAACCCCUAAACUCGCCAUUAUUGGCCACCCCAUCAUUUUCACCAUUGCUUCCAUUAACACCAGGUGAUGCUGUAUGGGUCAAUAACUUUGCAGAAUCCCCUGUCUCUGCUUAUAUGCGAUACCUCAUGAACCCUAAUUCUGAGCCAGGGGCAAGGCCAAGUGGGUCCAUACAAGAAUCGUCGGGGUUGCUCCCGACCCCACAAGUGGGGCCCUCACCUAGGUCCCUACCAAGCCCGGGUUUCGUUUUGCCUUCACCCACUUCACAAUUUUUCUUGCCUUCACCACUGCCCUUGCCUUCACCCUUUGCUUUGCCAUCCCCUAAUUCAAGUUUUGCAAAUAAUGGGGACCCUCGAUUCUCUUUUUCAAGCACACCUCAAUCAGGGAUUCUUGGGCCGGGGCCUGCAUCACCGGGGUUCUUGUUACCGCCAUCGCCAUCUUCGUGGUUUCCUAUUCCAAGUCCUAGGUGGAGAAAUUUGUAAUCUUCUCAUGGCUUGGAGGUUUCCUAUGGCAAGUAAGAUGUGGAGAAAUUUGUGAUCUUCUUGUAAAAUCUCUGUUACUCAGAUACCACAAAAUCUUGAGUUUUAUUUUUCUUCUUUUAUUGGGGAAAUGGAGCUUUUUGCAUUUGUUCCUCUGUUUUUUUUCUCUCUUAAUUCUGCAGUUGUGUAGCUUUUUAAGAAUUGUUUAUUGAGAGGGAGCCUGUGUCAGAUAGGUUCCUGUGUCAUGGUGCAGAAGAGAGGUUGCAGCUGAGGCAUUGUAUUCUCUUCCUCAAAGGUGUAUAAUGUAAUCUGUAGCUUUACCUGCUUUUUUCCUUGGGGGUUUCUCUCUAAAAGGAGCUUAUGCCUCUGUGUCUCAUUAGAGAAAAUCAGUAUAGGUGGCACUUUCUAGUUGCAUUCUCUGCUCUCAUUAGAUGGUGAGGUUCGUAUCCCUCUCUCCCUCUCUCUCACACAAAAGACUUGAGGCCUUCGCUUCCAAGUUAUCUGCUUCUCUAGUUUUCUUGUAUUG